GGGCGGAUAAGGCGUUUACGCCGCAUCCGCCGUUCUGUACACAAUGCCUGAUGCGACGCUGGCGCGUCUUAUCAUGCC
rfam:Shigella dysenteriae Sd197, complete genome.